UAAAUGUCACAAUAAACACCUACAGUUCUAUGUAUCCCUCAUGCCUUAGCUUGGGACUUAGAUGCCCUUAAAUAAAUUCCAAUAGUCUUCCCCACUUAUCUCUCCAUGCUCGUUUUCUCUGUAUCAUCACCACCCACCCGAUCUACUCUCUCUAUUCUUCUCCACCCAUCCAUCUUAUGCCUUAAAAUUUAUCAAUUGGCAAAUACUCGGUACAUAGGAUCUCUAAUCAACAUGAAAUCUCUACUGAUUUGUCCCAUAAAGAUGGCACUAGUAAUGAUAAUGGAGGGUCAAGUUAAAUGGAUUUUGAGAUGAGUGAUCCUAUAGCUUCAAAUAUUGAUAAGAAUUCAGCCUCAAAUAUUGACUUCAAUCCAAGAUCCUGCAGCUUCAAAAGCCACUGUCACAUGCGGUUCCAAGCCCAUCGGUUAUCAAUCCCAUGUUUUUGCUCUUUGCUAAAUAAAAAAGCCAAUGCCUUUGCUCUUCUCAAUGGCUUUCUUUCCCAAAGUGUUUCUUUUUAUGCCUCUCUCAUCCUUCAAUUUGCCACUCUUCUUGACCUUACAACCUGUUAUUGUCUUUUUAAAGUAAAUGUUUCUUUCAUUAACUAUGUUUUCAUGUGAAACACUUUCCGCCUCAAGGCAUGUGUUGAUAAUUUGAAUGUUUAGAAGGGUAUGGAGAUUCAUGGGUUUUUCUUUAAA